rnacentral:lncRNA from 1 species
AAGAAAUAUUUAUAAAAUAUAGAUAAUGUACACAUGAUCAUUAUUCAAUGGAUGUUUAUGUACAUAUCACACAAUUACAAGAUGGAACAUUAUCAUUCCAUAUCACAAAUCUGUGCUCCUUUUUCUGAAUUCAUUCCAUGCCAUGGAAUGAAGAGAAAACCACCACUUUGAACUUGUUUAUUAUUUCCGUGUGUGUGUUUAUUAUUUCUGUGUGUGUGUGUGCAUGUGUGUGUGUGUGUGUGUGUGUUUAAGCGACUGGAUCUCACUCUGUUUCCCAGACUUAAGUGCUGUGGUGCAAUCAUGGCUCUUUGUAACUUCAAACUCCCAGGCUCGAGUGAUCCUCCCAUGUCAGCCUCCUGAGUAACUGGGACUACAGGUGCACACCAUUAUGCCCAGUGUGCAAUACGAAUCACCUGGAAGAUCUUGUCAAACUACAGAAGCUGAUUCAGUAGGUCUGGGAUGGAGUAUGAGAUUCUGCCUUCCUAACAUGGAUGAGAUCUGCUGUGUCAACAUGGAAACUGCUCAGCAAGUAAGAGAAAUGUCAAGCAAUAAUCUCUGCUCAACAGGAAAGGACUUCUUGCUGCUCCCUCCUGGAGCCUUCAAGGCAGAAUUAAUUUUCUCAGGUUCUGAACUUUAUUAUUAAGUAUGCACAUAAAUAUCACUAAUAAAAUGUGACUGUGUGUUUUAUAGACCCAAUUCUUGCAGCAAAUUCUCCAAAAUACCACCUCACUAUUUAAAAUGCUAAGGUAUUGGAACCCACUACUGUUCUCUUUACCACUUUGUAUAGAUAUAAGUAGUUUAGGAUAUUUCACAGAUAACCAAAUAAAUAUCACUUUGCUAUAUAUUAAAUUCCCUGGAGCAAGUCAGUAGAAACUUCAAAUGGAGGAGUUAUUUCAGAUAAACAAAUUUCCAUAAAGCCAAAGCUUUAUAUCCCAAUAUAUUGGAGCCAGAACUGGAUGAGUGUUAGGAAACCCUAUAUCUUCUAUUGAAGGAAGUUUUAUACCUGUUGAAUUUUCACGUGAGCUGGAUGUAACUUUAAAUGCAGAAACUUUAGAGUAACAGGGAUAGAAUGAUAGAGACAUGCUAUAAUAAUUUCCAUAUGUAUUUACCUCCCUAUCUGUUCUAACCUCUCACCAGUUUCAGACUGCAUUUAUGAUAUAAAAAUGGAUGGGAAUGCCUGGAAUAUGCGGAGCAACUCUGUGGGGUUAGAUUUUUCAACAUUUUGUUAGAGGUUAGAAAUGUUCUCUUCAUCCUUGGGAAAACCUGUUCUCAGUUUUUCCAUGAGAUGAGUACAUCAUUCAUUCAAACUUAUGAAGAGUUAAAAAUAUCCAUAAUGAUACAAUAUAACAUGACUAAAGAGUGUGAGCUCUGCAUUGUCUUUUCAUCCUGUCUUUUUUGGUCUGUAGGUGAAUUUUAAAAUUUGCUUCUUU